GAUGAACGCUGGCGGCGUGCCUAAUACAUGCAAGUCGAGCGAACAGAUGAGGAGCUUGCUCCUCUGACGUUAGCGGCGGACGGGUGAGUAACACGUGGAUAACCUACCUAUAAGACUGGGAUAACUUCGGGAAACCGGAGCUAAUACCGGAUAAUAUAUUGAACCGCAUGGUUCAAUAGUGAAAGACGGUUUUGCUGUCACUUAUAGAUGGAUCCGCGCCGCAUUAGCUAGUUGGUAAGGUAACGGCUUACCAAGGCAACGAUGCGUAGCCGACCUGAGAGGGUGAUCGGCCACACUGGAACUGAGACACGGUCCAGACUCCUACGGGAGGCAACAGUAGGGAAUCUUCCGCAAUGGGCGAAAGCCUGACGGAGCGACGCCGCGUGAGUGAUGAAGGUCUUCGGAUCGUAAAACUCUGUUAUUAGGGAAGAACAAAUGUGUAAGUAACUAUGCACGUCUUGACGGUACCUAAUCAGAAAGCCACGGCUAACUACGUG
rnacentral:rRNA from 1 species